UACGUAGGGCGCAAGCGUUUAUCCGGAAUUAUUGGGCGUAAAGAGCUCGUAGGCGGUGCGGCAAGUCUUCUGUGAAAUCUCCGGGCUUAACUCGGAGUCUGCAGGGGAAACUGCCGCGCUUGAGUGUGGGAGAGGUGAGUGGAAUUCCCGGUGUAGCGGUGAAAUGCGUAGAUAUCAGGAGGAACACCGGUGGCGAAGGCGGGUCUCUGGGCCUGUACUGACGCUGAGGAGCGAAAGCGUGGGGAGCGAACAGG
rnacentral:rRNA from 1 species